AUGUGUAUACGUAUAGCUGAUUCACUUUGUUAUACAGCAGAAACCAACACAAACAUUACAACAUUGAAAAGCAAUUACACUCCAAUAAAGAUGUAAAAAAAAAAAAUGCUUUGCUGAAAACUUUCAGGGAGUUUGGGGUUUUUUGGGCAUGGGCCACCCAUCUCCUUGCGUGGCCCUCCAAUAAACCUUUCUCUGCUCCACCCUUCGACGUUUUGGUUUGUUUAGCCUCACUGUGUGUCGGGUGCAUGAACUUGCAUUCAGUAACAAUGGCUAAUAAGUGCAUGAAACGAUGUUAACAUUAGCCAUUAAGGAAAUGCAAACUGCAUCACUACACACCUAUGAGAUGGACUGAAAUUAAAAAAAGACAUCACCAAAUGCAAGUGAGGAUCACUGACAUGUUGCUGGUGGGAAUGGAAAAUUGUACAGCCACUCUAGAAGUUUGUUAUAAAACUAAACAUACAGUUACCAUACAAGCUAGCAAAAGCACGUUGGGCAUCUGUCCUAGAGAAACGAAAACGUAUGUUCACACAAAAACCUUAACCUCAAUUUUCAUAGCAAAUUUAUUUGUAGUAGCUGAAAUCUGAAAACAGCCUAGAUAUCCUUCAACAGGUGAAUGUUAAACAAACUGGGAUAUGGACACUGUGGAACACUACUCAGCAAUAAAAAAUAAGGAACUAGUGAUGCACAUAACAAUGUGAUGAAUCUCCAGGGAAUUCUGUUGAGUGAAUAAAGCCAAUCUCAAAAGAUUACAUUUAUAUUAGAUUUUUGGAAUGACAAAUUUCUAGAGAUAGAGAACAGAUUAGUGGUUGUCAGAGGUGGGGGGUGGAGUGGACGUGGCUAUAAAAGGGCAGCACAAGGUACUGUCUGUAUCUUGACAGUAGUGGUGGCCACAAGAAUUACACAAGUGAUAAAACUGCAAUGAACUCAACACACACACACACACACGCGCGCGCGCGCGCGCGAGUGCAUUAAAACUGGUGAAAUUUUGAAUAAGAUUUGUGGAUUGUAUCAUUGUCAAUUUCCUGGUUGUGAUAUUGUGCUAUAGUUAUGUAAGGUGUUACCAUUCGCUUGGUGAAAGGUGCAAGGGAUCUCUGCAUUAUUUCUUACAAUUGCAUGUUUAUCUAUAAUUAUCUCAAAACAAAAAGUUUUAACAGUGCCUGUAAAGCCCUCUUCCUCCAUCUCAUCCUCUAAUUUCCUUCUAUCUUCUUCAUCCUCCUCUCAUUUCCCCUCGCCCUCCUCCUCCUUUUUCUCCUUGUUAUUUCCAGGUAACAUUACAUUCUCAGCAGAAAAAUCUUUCCAUUACAGCGGAAAGAGAGUGAGUAAUCUAACAUUUACCACGGAAAUCCUGGAAAAUACCUGGCCCCCCACGGACACACAGAAGCCCUAAAGAGGGAGAGCAAAGGCCACUGUGUUAAAAUGUCUGAGGCAGGAGAAGAUGGUGGGAGGAAGCUGUCCAGUUCCUUCUAAAACUCAAUACUCUCACCCAGGUGAUUUGGUCAGGGUCCUCUCUUUUCCCAGUGAGUUCCUCCUCCUGUUACAGUUUCCACUUCUGCCCACACCCCAGGGCCAAGCUGCAGGAGCACAUAACAUUUACACUGACACUUUUAGGGUAAGUAGAUCUUAAUCAAGGUAAAGGGGACAAGGGGAAUCAGGUGGAGGGUAUCGAUAAGUGCUCUUUUGGUAACAGUGACAAUUCAAACUGGCUGAAGCAAAAGGGGGACUUGUUAUCUCACAUAACUGGGAAGCCCAGUGAUAACCUCAGGCACAGCUGGAUCUGGGGCUCCAACAAUGAUGUCAGGGCUCUCUUUAACUCCACCUGUUGGUUCUGCUUUCCUCUAUGCUGACUCCAUUCUCAGUGAAGGCCUUCUCAAGGAUGGUAAAAUCUCCACCAGCACAGCUCCAAACUCGGGUCCUCGUCCUCUGAGCAACCUCAGUGAAGUUCACAGGAAACAUCCUGACCAGGCCCACCCAGGAAUGGCUGCAGGAAAGAAGAAAUUAACACACCCCCACCAGAGUCUGACUGGAACCAGGAAACAAUGGCAACAACUUAUUGCCUUUUAAACUUUACUUCCUCACCUCCUCCUCUUUGUUCCAUAAGAGAAACUAACAUCCAAAGCUGGGCAAAAUGGUUCUUUGGGACACUGGUCCACCGUCUCCUCAGUCUGCUGGAUUUCCGAAUAAAGUCCUUAUUCCUUGCCCCAACACCUCGUCUCUAAUUUACUGGCCUGUCAUGUAGAGAGGAGUAUGAGCUUGGACUUGGUAACAAGAGGAAACACAAAGGGGGACCACCUCAUUCCAUGCCCUGUGGAUAUUAUGAUGAAGAAAUGUGCAGCUGCCACAUACUCCUCCGAGGAGUGGGGGACCCAGUGGCUUGGGAUCCAGACAAGAUAAUGUCAUGACUGAGAGGGAAGCCACUGUCACUACUGGUGACUCACCCACAUGCUCUUGAGGACAGAGCCAAGCACAUACUCAAGGAUGUGCCCUUCAGAUGACAUAGCCUUUGAAUAAGGUUAUUAAACACCUUCU